rnacentral:rRNA from 1 species
AGCGAACGCUGGCGGCAGGCCUAACACACGCAAGUCGAACGAACCCUUCGGGGUUAGUGGCGGACGGGUGAGUAACACGUGGGAACGUGCCUUUAGGUUCGGAAUAACUCAGGGAAACUUGUGCUAAUACCGAAUGUGCCCUUCGGGGGAAAGCUUUAUCGCCUUUAGAGCGGCCCGCGUCUGAUUAGCUAGUUGGUGAGGUAAUGGCUCACCAAGGCUACGAUCAGUAGCUGGUCUGAGAGGAUGACCAGCCACAUUGGGACUGAGACACGGCCCAAACUCCUACGGGAGGCAGCAGUGGGGAAUCUUGCGCAAUGGGCGAAAGCCUGACGCAGCCAUGCCGCGUGGAUGAUGAAGGUCUUAGGAUUGUAAAAUCCUUUCACCGGUGAAGAUAAUGACUGUAGCCGGAGAAGAAGCCCCGGCUAACUUCGUGCCAGCAGCCGCGGUAAGAC